AACCAUUUAAUUGCAAAUCUGUUUCCAAAGGACAAGGUUCACUUAUGGCACAAAAUGGCCUAAAAUAUCAACUUUAUCAUAAAACACCACAAAGGUCUCAAUUUGGUUCGUAAAUGGGUCUAUUUCAAAAGUCUAAAUGCUAAAUAUAUCAGUUCUUUUCAUAAGAGAACAUAAUAUUCUCCAAAGUAAACCCAUUUUGGACAUUUUGUCAAAAUAUGACGAGUUUGUGCAUUUUUCAGACCUAAAAGCUUUAAAAACACCUUGGCCGCCACCUACGAUCCAAAAUGUGUUGUAACCAAAAG
rnacentral:lncRNA from 1 species